UCUUGGUAUGGAGAAAGGGAGAAGAGAGAGGCCACAGACCGGUGUGCUGAUGAGCCCCCAUCAUAGGGUACUACAACCAUUUUGGUUAGCUGCAAGGAUGAAGACAAUGGGGAAAGAAUGCAAAGAUAUUCAGUGAAGCCGCAGAUUUAGCUUUUGGAGAACUAUGGACAAGCCAUGUACAAGUACAUAGGCUGCUGCGUAUACAGAAAGAACGAAUGAAACGGGCUUGCAGAUUCAGUUUUCAUUUGCACGUCAUCAAAGCUAAUGCUUCCUGUUAAAACAACGCCCCCUGCAACAAGUCCAUUUCGAGGCCGGCCACAGGCACGACAUCGAGGGCAUCCAUAACAAUCGCGGAUCCUUCGACAUCUGGGUGGACCGCUGCUCCGUCGUCGACUACGACGACGGGCUCAUCGACAUCGCUUGUCUCCAGGUCGUUCCCUUCUCUGUUAUUUGUCCCUGCUACUAAGUCACUCACAUGCUUGGUUUCUCUCAACAAGUAUCGUUGAUUACAUGGGAUCACUGUGUUGUGCUGAUGAAAAUAAACGUGUGUGUAUGUGAUUGCAUUUUUUGCAUGAUUGAUAUAUGAUGAUUGCUCACAAUGUACAGUGGGUAUGCAUGUAUUCUCCACAAACUUAGAAUUGGCACUCUCUUUAGACCAGCUCUUCAUUCUUGUAUUUAAGUUGGUACUAAAUCUGGAAGAGGUUUAUUGUAGGUUGAUGUCUUUUACAUCUCAUAUUUUUCAUCCAUGUAAUACGAACAAAUGCACAAGAUAUAGAUGAGAAUCUGUUCAUGAGCUUCACCAGCCAUUUUACAGGAUAUACAAUGUUGUUUUCUUAUGCAUUUUAAUUACAUUUACAACUGUAAGUUUGUGAUGAUACAAACGAAAGUUGCAUACAGAUUUUCUUAUUUAUACUAUUGUUCUAUCCAUGCUUAACAUAUAAAAAAUUCUUGUUUUGUUCAUACUACUUAACAGUCAGCAGUUUAGUCAUCUUACAAAUACCAAUUAUGUUCCCUUUCUCACUGUAUACCAGAUAGAUCAACACCUAGUCUGUUGUUAUUUUUCUCCUGCCACUUUUGAAAUUUCUACUUUAUCUUUUUUAGAUUACCAUUUUUUCAUUCGUUUGUUCUUUGUUCAUACACUAGGCUGUACAUACUCAAAUCAUCGACUGGACACCAGAAAUAUUGACUUCUCUUUAUUCUUUCAUCAGCCAUUUUACUUGAGCAUUAAUAAAUUUGGGUCCUCAAGACCUGUAGUCAAUAAAUGUACUUUGCUAUCACCAUUAAUAUCCAUAGAACAUGCUCUUAUCUUUCAUAUCACAGAACAACUUAUGUCCAUGUAAAUAACUUGCUUUUUUCUACCAGUAUUUUCAGUUUAACUAUACUGAAGAGAAUCUGCUGGACUAAAUUGAUCCAAACAAUGCUACACUCAUUGUCAGACUUGCAGACGACCAUCUGCUCGCCAAAUGUCGAAUCAUGCUAGGAACUGACAAGAGGGCCACUAUAACCACGAACUGGUCUGAGUUUUUUCACCGCGCCAACAUUCGCAAAUGAGACAUCUAUGCAUUUCAUUUCAGGAUCACUUCAAAGCUCUGCCUUGUUGUCACCGUGCACCACCUCUAGAUGCACCAUCGAAGACGCUGCAGCCCUUGUGUCAAUAUAAUCUAGUCCCUCCGUCUCAUAAUGUAAGACGUUUUUUGACACCAUUUGUGUCAGAAAACGUCUUACAUUAUGGAACAGAGGGAGUAAUAUAAUGUACCACUAAGUACUCCUAAUUAUGCUAUAUCCUGUGAUAACUUAUGGUUUGCUUUUGGGCCCUCUUAUCACAUGCUUUUCAAGACGCUAAACCUAUGUUGUUGCUUAUGUUAAGUGCACUAUUGUCAGUUAGAUGUUUCAUGUUCAGAUCCAUAAUAGGCUUUCUCUA